AGUGAACGCUGGCGGUAGGCCUAACACAUGCAAGUCGAACGGCAGCACAGUAAGAGCUUGCUCUUACGGGUGGCGAGUGGCGGACGGGUGAGGAAUACAUCAGAAUCUACUUUUUCGUGGGGGAUAACGUAGGGAAACUUACGCUAAUACCGCAUACGACCUACGGGUGAAAGCAGGGGAUCUUCGGACCUUGCGCGAUUGAAUGAGCCGAUGUCGGAUUAGCUAGUUGGCGGGGUAAAGGCCCACCAAGGCGACGAUCCGUAGCUGGUCUGAGAGGAUGAUCAGCCACACUGGAACUGAGACACGGUCCAGACUCCUACGGGAGGCAGCAGUGGGGAAUAUUGGACAAUGGGCGCAAGCCUGAUCCAGCCAUACCGCGUGGGUGAAGAAGGCCUUCGGGUUGUAAAGCCCUUUUGUUGGGAAAGAAAAGCAGCAGGUUAAUACCCCGCUGUUCUGACGGUACCCAAAGAAUAAGCACCGGCUAACUUCGUGC
rnacentral:rRNA from 1 species